AUGGCGUCAGUCGAAACGAGUCAAAGAAUAAGCAGGCAAGCUCCGCAACUAGUUACGGUAUUGAAGGAGAUGAAAGCAGGAUUGGAUACAGUGAGCUUAAAAGUACAAGCUUUAACCGCAAAGGUGAAAGCGGAUCACUUUCCAACAGCAGAUGGAAUAAGUUACCUUGAAACGAAGCAUCUGCUACUUCUGAAUUAUUGUCAAUCACUUGUCUAUUAUUUGCUCCGCAAGGCAAAAGGACUCUCAAUUGAAGGGCAUCCAGUAGUUCGGAGUCUGGUGGAGAUGAGAUUGUUUUUGGAGAAGAUUCGCCCCAUUGACAAGAAACUACAGUAUCAAAUUCAGAAGCUCACACGAGAUAGUGACACAGCUUCUGAGAAGUCAGUUAUAAGUGAGAAGGGAACAGAUACUCAGAAGGAGGACCUAUUGAAGUAUCGUCCAAAACCUGAUAUGCUUGUUAGUAAAACAAGUAACACUGCAGAGGAUGGUGUAUAUCGACCCCCCAAAUUUGCGCCUGCUUCUAUGGGCGAGGAGAAAAUGUCGAAGCAGGAGAGAAAUGAAUUGAGGAGGGAAAAAGAGAGAUUGCGAAAUGCUAAACAAAGCCCGUAUAUGAUAGAUUUGUUGAAUGAUCUUGAAGGAAGACCCGAAGAGGUAAGAGAAGUUGUUGGAUCUGAAAGUAGAGAACUCACAAACUACAUGGCUAAAAUGGAAGAACGUGCAAAAAGAGAAGAGGAGGCGUUUGAUCGUGCCCCACUUACAAAAUUGGAGAAAAAGAAAAUGAAACAUCUGAAGAAGUCAAGAAAUGGGUUGCUUGGGCUGACAGAUAGUUUCUAUGACGAGAUAAAAAGUUUGCCUUUAGGGGAACCUGUUUCUGAACAAUCAGAAAACUUUGAGAAAGGCGGCACUGGAAUCAAACAACAGAAGAAGCGUAAGAGGAGGAAUUGAUAUGACUGCUGGUUCGAGUACAUUGAUAUCCACCAAUUUAGAGGCUUUAAGGUUGGAAUGCAGUGAUGACUGAAACCUAGAUGGAUAAUUGAAAGUUGCUUGCUUGCAAGGCUGAAGUGCUAUGGCGGCUGUGGUUUGGUUCACAUCUAAUUUCUUGAAAAGUAAGGGUCAGCUGAUAUGUAAAAUGAAGCCUCUUAUGGUAGUUGUAUUAUCAUCUUUCACAAAUCAAAAGGAAAUUGUACUUCUUUCUAAACAAUUCUUGUCGAUAGGGUAACCAGCUCUUUUUGGACGGUCUGAGCAAUAUAUUUUCAGGGUGAGCACCAAUUUUGGGCUUCAACUGUGGUGUAAGCUGUUAAUGAAGUGGAAAACUCAGUUUAGUGAUCGAUGUCAUGUCAUGAAUUUCUAUUUUUACAAAAGUGAGAUUUAGCUCUAUUACAAUGAGAUUUUCAAUAUCUUA